GUGGGGAAUCUUGCGCAAUGGGCGAAAGCCUGACGCAGCAACGCCGCGUGCGGGAUGACGGCCUUCGGGUUGUAAACCGCUUUCAGCAGGGACGAAAUUGACGGUACCUGCAGAAGAAGCUCCGGCCAACUACGUGCCAGCAGCCGCGGUAAUACGUAGGGAGCGAGCGUUGUCCGGAUUCAUUGGGCGUAAAGCGCUUUAAGGCGGUUCGCUAAGUCGCGUGUGAAACCUCCAGGCUCAACCUGGAGACGCCACGCGAUACUGGCGUGACUAGAGUUCGGUAGGGGAUCACGGAAUUCCUGGUGUAGCGGUGAAAUGCGCAGAUAUCAGGAGGAACACCAGUGGCGAAGGCGGUGAUCUGGGCCGAUACUGACGCUGUAGAGCGAAAGCGUGGGGAGCGAACAGGAUUAGAAACCCCGGUAGUCC
rnacentral:rRNA from 1 species